AAUAUUCGAAGCAAAAACCAGUCCUUGCGGUUAGGAAGAAAGCAAACAGCAGAAUCCUGACCAAGGGUGAAAAGUACACUGUGAGGAAGACUUAUGGCCUUCCUCUCUGAGACCACCACCCACAGCCCGACGACCACUGCCCAGAAUUGAUGAGAGGAUCUGCGCAGACGCAGGACACAAAAAACUAAUUAGCAUGAGAAGCAAGAGUAGGCGGAGUUAGAUAAUGAAUAUGUAUAGGCGUUAAUAAAAUAUUCAUCACUCUGCUGUAUAAAUUUGGGAUGGCUUUUCACUUCAGGUGUGCACGAUAGGCGGAGAGAUCCCCCGUGCAUCCAGCGCUGCAAUAAAGAAUAUACCACUUAAAGAAAUUGGAUUUCUGAUCUUUGAAUCAGAUGACAGCAGCAAUGAAC